GUGCCAGCCGCCGCGGUAAUACGGAGGGUGCAAGCGUUAUCCGGAAUCACUGGGUUUAAAGGGUGCGUAGGCGGCUUGGUAAGUCAGGGGUGAAAGUCUGCCGCUCAACGGUAGAAUUGCCUUUGAUACUGCCAGGCUUGAAUAAGCGCGAGGCAGGCGGAAUGUGGCAUGUAGCGGUGAAAUGCAUAGAUAUGCCAUAGAACACCAAUUGCGUAGGCAGCUUGCCAGAGCUUUAUUGACGCUGAGGCACGAAAGCGUGGGGAGCGAACAGGAUUAGAUACCCUGGUAGUCCACGCCCUAAACGAUGCUUACUCGACGUACGUUUUUUGGAAUGUGCGUCCAAGCGAAAGCGCUAAGUAAGCCACCUGGGGAGUACGCCGGCAACGGUGAAACUCAAAUGAAUUGGCGG
rnacentral:rRNA from 1 species